UACGGGGGGAGCAAGCGUUGUUCGGAUUUACUGGGCGUAAAGGGCGCGUAGGCGGCCAGCACAAGUCAGUUGUGAAAUCUCCGAGCUUAACUCGGAAAGGUCAACUGAUACUGUGCGGCUAGAGUGCGGAAGGGGCAACUGGAAUUCUUGGUGUAGAGGUGAAAUUCGUAGAUAUUCGGAAGAACACCAGUGGCGAAGGCGGCCAGCUGGGCCGUCCCUGACGCUGAGGCGCGAAGGCGUGGGGAGCGAACGGG
rnacentral:rRNA from 1 species